UUUCUCUGGGGAUGGUUCUCUUGCUUUCAGCCCAAGGCCAAGGAACAGACAUUCCUCGGCUGGGAUGACGGUGCAUCUUUUAUCUAGCAAGUCACAUUUCGACUCUGUGUUUCAAUCAACUGUAAAGUCUUCGGGGCCAUCUUAGAAAAGGGAUUUUAUUAUUUUUCCAGACAUGCUGUCUUCAGAAUAAGUGAAAUUCAAAAUGUUAAAAUGAGGUGGCUCUGGUCAUGUCUUGGCCAAAGCAUUCUCACUUACCUAGAUUAUGGUUCCAUCACAAGGAAGAGUUUGGUGCUGAACUCUUUGUGGUUGGCAUGUUUUCCUCCUAGAUUGGCACUGUUGAAGAAAAGCGGGGAGGAAGAUUGGAGAAACAGACUCAGCAGGAGGCAGGAGGGCAGCAAGGCUCCGGCCAGCAGCCUGCACACCCAGGAAGCAGGGCGGUCCCUCAUCAAGAAGGAAGAAGGAGGAGUUGCGGAUGAUAUUGCCGUUUCUAAUCUGCUUUGGGAACCUGUAUAUGCUUCUACUUAUUCUCCUGCUAUUCCUGCUGCCCAUAAAUACCUGUCUUUUGUGUCGAUUAAUCAGAGGGUCACAGAAAGUCGAGAGAGCCAGAUGACAAUUGAGGAAAGGAAGCAGCUCAUCACUGUGAGAGAGGAGGCCUGGAAGACGAGAGGCAGAGGAGCGGCCAACGACUCCACCCAGUUCACUGUGGCUGGCAGGAUGCUGAAGAAAGGUUUGGCGUCACCCACUGCCAUAACCCCAGUAGCCUCACCCAUUUGCAGUAAAACAAGAGGCACCACACCCGUUUCCAAACCCCUGGAAGAUAUCGAAGCCAGACCAGAUAUGCAGUUAGAAUCGGACCUGAAGUUGGACAGGCUGGAAACCUUUCUGAGAAGGCUGAAUAACAAAGUUGGCGGGAUGCACGAAACGGUGCUCACUGUCACCGGCAAAUCUGUGAAGGAGGUGAUGAAGCCAGAUGAUGAUGAAACUUUUGCCAAAUUUUACCGCAGCAUGGAUUAUAAUAUGCCCAGAAGUCCUGUGGAGCUGGACGAGGACUUCGAUGUCAUUUUCGAUCCUUAUGCACCCAAGUGAGUUAUUUGGGUCUCCGUCUUUCCUCCACUGAGAAGGGCUUCCUUCACCUAUACACAGCAUAUCCACGAGGCUCUUUCCCCAUGUGACCUCCUUCUUCUAACUCCAUCACAGGGGCGUUAGUAUUCUAGAGCCAGGGCACGCUGUUGCAGGAGCCAGGGGCAGGGAGCCUCACAGCAGAUAGAACAUGCAGACCAGAUGUGCAGGCAGGCAGACCGUGUGGGCCACAGUUGCUUGUCCUGUGCCAUAAAGAGGGCGUCACUGGAUUUUUCACAUAAUUUGAAUAUCGUUUUGCAGUUUUUAGGGUUACAUUACUUAGCAGAGAGUUCAACGCCUGUCUUUCAUUGGCAUAUUGAAUCCUUCCUCAUAAUGUUGCAAAAUAUUUGGAUGAGAUGAGCUCAAAUUAGUACAGCUCACUAGAAAAUCAGUAAGGCAUGUUACUUAGCUUCUAAUCAUUUACAAAAUCAGUAGAUCUGGGGGUUUUCUCAUUGAUGUCUAAGGGUUUCUCUUCCCACGGGAACAUGACUAAACCAACUAGGAAAAGUGAUUAUGGUAUUAGGAGUCCGUCAAUUUCAAGUGCCGAGGAGAAGAUCCCAACUCAAACUGAUUUCAGCAAAAAGAAAAGUGCGGAGAGGUUUACCCGCUCACUGGCUGAACAGUGGGGAGGAGUUGACCGGCCUCACUCGCCGAACAGUGCGGAGGGGUUUACGCUCUCACUCGCUGAAAAGCGCGGUGGAGUUGACUGGCUCACUCGCUGAAAAGUGCAGGUGUGGCCUCGGGUUCUAGAGGCUCCUCAGAACACAGUCUGUCUUGGCUUUGGGCUGGCCGCACUCUCCGUCAGGCAAUGGCCAGGCGGCAGAUGGACACCCAGCUGUGGAGUCACAAGGCUGCCUCCCUGGCCAGCCCAGCACAGGUAGCUUCUCUUCUCAAUAGUCCCAGCAGAAGUUCCAGGUUUGAUUUUCUUGGCUUCAACUUGAGUCCCGUGUCCAUCCCUAAACCAGUCACUGUGGCCAAUGGGAUAGAAGAUGCCGACUGGCUAAAGGCGGGUCUCUGGGUCUCCUCUAGAGCCACGGUGGGGGCGCAGGGAGGUGGUUUCCCCAAAGGAAAAUCCAGAUCCUAUUACAGAAGCAGAGGAGGACACACUGGACAGGCUCCACCCACGGCAGUCCACCACAUCCAUCGGGUCUUUCCUUCGAAAUUGUCAGAGUGACAUAUACCAUUUUCUACAAGCUGCUCCUGAUAAAUUCAUUGCAUAUUCUGGUUUGCUCAAUUUGUUUCAGUUUGCAUGUUUUAAUUUCCUACCUUAAAAAAUGAGCCCUUUUCUAUUUUCUACUUCAAAAUAGUAUUUUGGGUAUUUGCAUACAUAGCUGUUUAACCAUUUCUCAAUCUUCUGCCCACCCAAUGUCACUGUUUAAAUUAUUGUAUAUCAUAAUGUAAACAUAUAUGUAUAUUACACACUUGACACCAUGGUAUGUAAAGAGGCCUUUCGGGCACAGAGGCCCGCGCAGCUGCAGGUGGAGAGUGGCAGCAGGAGUCUGUUGGGAGAUCACUUCGCACCGUCUGCUCACCUCACCAAGUCUGGUUUUCCACCCCAGAGUUGUGAAAAUGUAGGAUGGUCACAGAUGGUUUUGGUAGGACCCUGAGCUUCUCGGAGUUGGGAUGUGGGCUGGAGGGAGCCGGCUGGGGGCAAUGAAUGGAGGCGAGGAGAUGGGCUCCAGGUUCUCACUCCCACUGUAGGCUGAGCCACACUGCUCUCAUCUGCCCAAUAAUGUGGGGUUCCAUCAUUCUGAAACAGUGAUUUUCUUGGUUUGAGGUGAUAGCAUGCAUAAUCUUGAUUUUUGGAAUAAUCUUGCUAUAAUUUUCAUUUUCCCAUAACACUCAUAAACCUAUCUCCUCAUGUUUUUCUUAGAAAUAUAGUAUUUAGAUGAAGUGGUUGAGUCUUUUCGUUAUAACUGGUUUACUAAGAAAGUAUAUUUCAGACCACGCAUGGUGGCUCAUGCCUGUAAUCCUAGCACUUCAGGAGGCAGAGGCAGGAGGAUCACUUGAGCCCAGGAGUCUGAGAGCAGCCUGAGAAACAUAGCAAGACUUCAUCUCUACAAAAAAUAAAAAAAUUAGCUAGGUGUGGUGGCACUCACCUGGGGUCCCAGCUACUCAGGAGGCUGAGGUGGGAGGAUCACUUAACCCCAGGAGGUCAAGGCUGCAGUGAGCCAUGAUUGCACCAUUGCACUCCAGGCUGGGUGACAGAGCCACACCCUUUCUCAAAAAAAAAAAGUGUAUUUCAAAACCACAACACCAUAAUGAAUUGACAAGUGGUGUUAUAUGUCUUCAAAUCUAAUCCCAGUGAAAUAAAUUUCUGAAUUU
rnacentral:lncRNA from 1 species